AUGUUAGGGUAUCUCCAACCGUGGAUCCUUAAUAGGGUCUGGACAUCAGACCGCUUGAUCCGUCGUGGGUGGCCCAACUGCGGCUUGUGUCCUCUCUGCAAGCAAGUGCAGGAGUCCGCGGCCCACCUUCUCUUCCAAUGCCGCUUCUCUUUGCGCAUCUGGAAUGACAUUCUCCCGUGGCUCGGAAUGCACCACAUCUCUACUUCUUCUUGGUCGGCGAGCGCUUCGGUCAAAGGAUGGUGGAACGAUAACCUUCAGAUUCGUCUCGGCUUGCCCAAAGCCCUUGCCUCAUUGAUGAUGCUCAUCUCAUGGGAGAUUUGGUCCGAGCGCAACGCGAGAGUCUUUCGCAACGUUGCAGUCCCUCCGGUGGUAAUCGUUAACAAGAUCAAGCAAGAGGUGUCGCUUUGGGCUUUGGCAGGUGCCAAGCACUUGGGUAUUGUAAUGCCGCGAGAGUAA
rnacentral:rRNA from 1 species